rnacentral:rRNA from 1 species
UACGGAGGGGGCUAGCGUUGUUCGGAAUUACUGGGCGUAAAGCGCACGUAGGCGGCUUUGUAAGUUAGAGGUGAAAGCCCAGGGCUUAACCCUGGAAUUGCCUUUAAGACUGCAUCGCUAGAAUCGUGGAGAGGAGAGUGGAAUUCCCAGUGUAGAGGUGAAAUUCGUAGAUAUUGGGAAGAACACCAGUGGCGAAGGCGACUUACUGGACACAUAUUGACGCUGAGGUGGCGAAAGCGUGGGGAGCAAACAGG